UACAGGAUGGGAGUCCAGAGGGUGCGCUUGGCCCCUUGGUGACCCUGGGCAUUACCUGGGUCUUUGUUUUCUCUUCUGCAAAGUGGGGGUGAUAACACUUGCUUCAGAGGGUCAUAGGGUUAAAUAAGCACACAGAUGAAUGUGAGGGCUGAGUUAAUUGAGGGCUCUGUGUCUCUGUUCCCAGCCCUUUGCUCAUAACGGUCCAAUGAGGCUGGUGUAUUAUGAUGCCCAUUUUAUAGACGAGGGCAUGGGAGCACAAAGAUGGCCUGGCCCCUCAGCCAAUGCUCUUAACCUUCACUAUAAGCCAGGCACUUUUGUAAGUGCUUGGUAAUACUAACUACACAUUUCGAACACAAAGUGUGACUUUGGCUUUCAGAGGCUCACAGUAAGACUAACAAAUGGCUCAUUCCAAUCCAGAAUCCAGUGUGAGACACCUGGUGUGAAUUAGGGACAGAGGAGGAAGGGAAUGCGCCUGGUGUCCUCAAGGAAGCUUUUUCAAAAGUACUUGACCUGAGCUUUGAAAUCUCGCUCAUGGGAGGCCACAUCCCACAGCCUAUUGAGGUUCGGGAAGCUGCACACCUGGACUCGGCUUCACAGAGGCUGCACUGCCCAUGCAGGAGUGGCUGGUGAGAUGGAAGAGCAGCCCAGUCAGCUUCUGGGGUAAGGGGAGCAGAGGGCCAGCCCUGGGGCACUGCCCCUUUCAGGAGGACCCCUCGGAACCCCCACAACAGCUCUCUACCUACAGUAGCUUGGGCUCCUUCAAGCCCCUGGGAGAAUGGCAUCUCAGGUAAUUAUGUCUCCUAAGGCCUUUCAUCCCAGCAUCUUCAAAGCACCUGUGAUUAAGGUGCGGCCCCUUUGAAGCCAUCCUGUCCAGUUUACUGAGUCACAGCAGCUUUGAGCCAGAGACACCCAGGCCUCUGGCUUCCUCCUCUCCUCUCCUCCCUCUCAUUAAAGCCUCUCCGAGAAAAUCCUGGCCACUGCUUCCCCAGCUCCCUGGGUGCCUCUGGCCUUGGGCAGACCUCCCUUUAAUUGGCUGCAGCCCGGGAUUUUGUAAAGAAUCUAAAACAUGUUCCUAGGAACUCCAGGGAAACCGGCAGUAAAUCCUUGACUCUGGCCUGCCUUUGCUUGCCUGUUUGUUUGUUUUGGCUGGGUAAGUUUGAAGUGGGUCUCAGCGCGCCUCACUGGAGGUGCAGGUGUGUGUUGACGUGUGUGACACAGAGACAAAAAAAAGAAAGCUCCUCUCUCCUGUCUCCCACUCAGGGUCUUUUCACAGCAACCCAUGAAUCAUCACCAGCCACAUCCCUGAUUCACUGCUCCUUCCUACAUGGUGUCCACCAGGAAUGGCCUUGUUCUGCCUGCUGGUGGCCGUUGAUACCCUGUCACCAUGCCAACAGGAAGAGUGAUGUGGGGUCAGAAGCAUUUUCUCUUGCUGUCUGAUUUUCCUGACUUUAAGCACGAGUCUUCACUCUCUCCUACUUCAGAUGAGUGGAGAGGGGCUACUGAGAGCUCCGAUUUGAACUUACAAGUUCCCAUCAGUGAGCUUCCCCUUCUGCUUUAUUCAAGUAAACCUGCCUUUGUCUACCUUGACUCUACCCUGUUUCUCCCUUGGAGUGGAUUCAAAUAAAACUUUUGC